rnacentral:rRNA from 1 species
GACGAACGCUGGCGGCAUGCCUAAUACAUGCAAGUCGAGCGGAAUGAUGAGAGCUUGCUCUCUGAUUUUAGCGGCGGACGGGUGAGUAACACGUGGGCAACCUGCCCUACAGAUGGGGAU